rnacentral:rRNA from 1 species
UACGAGGGGGGCAAGCGUUGUUCGGAUUUAUUGGGCGUAAAGGGUGCGUAGGCGGUCUGGCAAGUCUUGUGUGAAAUCUUCGGGCUCAACCCGAAGUCUGCACAAGAAACUGCCGGGCUUGAGUAUGGGAGAGGUGAGUGGAAUUUCCGGUGUAGCGGUGAAAUGCGUAGAUAUCGGAAGGAACACCUGUGGCGAAAGCGGCUCACUGGACCAUAACUGACGCUGAGGCACGAAAGCUAGGGAGCAAACAGG